UACGUAGGUGGCAAGCGUUGUCCGGAUUUACUGGGCGUAAAGAGCGCGCAGGCGGUCGUUCAAGUCGCGUGUGAAAGCCCCCGGCUCAACUGGGGAGGGUCACGCGAUACUGAUCGACUCGAAGGCAGGAGAGGGAAGUGGAAUUCCCGGUGUAGUGGUGAAAUGCGUAGAUAUCGGGGAGGAACACCAGUGGCGAAGGCGACUCACUGGACACGUAUUGACGCUGAGGUGCGAAAGCGUGGGGGAGCAAACAGG
rnacentral:rRNA from 1 species